AGCCGGUGCUGCUGCGGCGGCGGACCGAACGUCAUUUCGGGCGGACCGACACUUAAAAUAAGCAUACACUGUAUGCCACCACCGCCGCCGCCGCUUUUGAAACGCGCCAAAAAAGCUCGUUGCCGCCGCUAGUGAUCGCCAGUGCGCUUUCGGUGUGCGGUUGUCGCGGACGUCUGCUGCAGCGGCUGCGCAUCUCCUCGGCCGUCAUUACUAUCACGCACACACACACACACACACAUACACACGCGCGCGUGCGCGUGCGCGUACGCACUCACGUCGAGGAGUUUGGGUUGUCGAAUUUUCCACAUCCCGCUCGCCCCCCACCGAGUCAAAUUUAACGUCGUACCGGUUUCUUUUUCACCCUUGUCCUUGUGAUCCAUCACAUACACAUUAUUAUUGUCGGCUGCUAAAUUAAUAUUAUGUAUAGCCCGUCGUAUAUUAUGUAAAUUUUUUUCGUCUUCGGAACCGACGGUCGGAUACGAGACAUCGUCGUCGUCGCACAGAUAACGCGCCAGGUCGACAAAAAAAAUAAAACAAAAAAAUACAACGUAAAACACCACCGUAAUAAUAUUGCACCUGGUGACGGAAGCGAUGAUCCGCGAUCGGCUGUACACGAUGUCUGACUGCUGCGUUGACCGUGUCGAGCCAACACUGUGACUUCUGCAACUUUGAUCCUGAAGAAUUUCUACAACACACGUGGUGUCUGAUACCUACUACCAAUAUAUUAUUAUACGAUCUACCUAUUUUGCAGAGCAAUGUAAUACAGUGAAACCUCUUUUAACAGACACCUCUAAAUAGUGGACGAUUUUUUGGGAAUAGGGAUAUUUUCACUACAUAUCAAUAGGAAUACUUUUGGAUACAGGAUACUCGAAAAUCCAGACAUUUUUAUGGCUAGAUUUUGAUAAUUUUUAUUGUAAUUUUUGUUUGAAUAUAUUUUAUUAUAAUGUAUAUAUUACACCUUAUUAUACUAUUAUAGAUUAUAUUAUAUGUAAUAAGUCUUAAGUAAUGACUGACUCAUUCGGAAUAUCUAAUGACAUUUUAUUAUAAACUGCAAACUAAAGUAACUGAUUUUAUUUUAAAUAAUAAUAAUAUAUAAUAUACAUAUAUGUAUACAUUCAUACAUAAAAUAAUUAAACUAUAUAUAUGCGGUUCAUUUUUUUAAAAGUAUUUUGAUACCUCCUAAUCUACAUUUUUAAUUUAGUUCCUUUUUUAAAUAGCGUACACAAUUUAAGUGAUCGAGAGUGAAUGGUAUUUAGAGGUUUCACUGUAUACGAUUAUUUGAAGGGUCAUAAACGGAACUUGGGAAUUGUUCGCAUCUCCGGGAUUCAACGUGUACAUUUUACUUUGUACAAUGUACAGCCAAUGUGUUGCCUACAAAGUUAUAAACAAGGAUCGGUAGUCGGUGUUUUCACUGUAUCCAAUAUAAAUCAUAAAGCAUCACCACGUUUUAAUAACAAAAACAAUACGUCCCAAUUUAAAUUGGUUCUACUGCGUCAACAAAUCAUCAAAUCCAAAUGGAUUAUAUUGCCAUCAUAUUCAAGCUCAUCUAAAUACCUAAUCGAUUCGUCGCGUUGAAGAACUAAUAUGGACAAUUUAGAAUUAUAUUAAUUAUUAAUAUAACACAAGUUCGACACAUCGAGUAUAGAGUAAUAAAACAUAUUCGUUGAUUUUAUAAGCAAUCCAUUCUUAAAUAUUAAUAAGCAAAUCAUCAACACUUGGACUUCAACAAUCUAUAUACUCGUAUUAUAAAUAUAACAACUAAUAAGCUACACUGCAAUCAAAAACACAUUAGUACAACUCAAGAUGGGUACUAAUGAAUUGUCGUGUAAGUCAACAUCUUCAUUUUUGAUUAUUCAUGGACGCUUGAUUUAUUAUACUAUCCUGAAUUAAGUGAGUGACACAAACGCCAGCUAUCACAUAUUUCUUCCAUCACUGUUUUCUGUUAUUGCCCUAUAGAGUUAUUAUAAGAAACCCCACCGUCUUCAGAAUUUUCACUAGAUACUAAUAAUUUUGAAGAUUCAGUCGAAAUAGAUAAUUAUGUUUAAAGCGAUGCAAAAAAGCGAGUACGUAUCUGCUGCCUAUUUUUUUUUAUAGACUUCAAACUAAAUAUUAAUAAUAAGGAAAUACUCAACCUAUCGCAAUAACAUAAUAUAUAAAUUUACAUAUAAUUUAUAAACAAGAUUGGUUCAUCACAAUGUCAAAAUAAUUAUUAGGAUUCAGGACUAUGGGCCAACUUCAAACUUCUAUAUUAUGUUUCCUGCUGCGUCAAGUACGGGGAAUAUCACCUUUCGAACCACUGUACCAAAUACAAAAGCAGUCCAGCCAAGUGUGUUUUAAGUGAGGGUGCUCAUACGAGUGAUACGCAUUCACUUCAUGGAAUGUUCAAACCACAAAUUUUUUUUAAGCACCAAUCUAUCCAUCAAUCAUCAUAUAUCUAUGUUGCUCCCUACUCUAUCAAUAUAAAAAUACUCAAUAAUUCUAAAAAUAAUACUUUAUUAUUGAAAUUUCUUUCCGGUCUUACUUUGUUAAUUUCCCUUCGUCUAUAAUUGUAUAUUAAUCUCAGUAUUUUUAAUUAUUAGUAUAACGUAAUUAGAAUACUCUAAUUAUUGUAGCUGUAAUGCUGUAUCUAUAUCUUAUUUUAAAGUAUAAUGGUGGUCAAUACUGUAAUUAUUAUAUUAUAUUAUUAUAAUAAUAAUAACCCAAGUCUAAUUUCACUAAUGGGUGAUGGCCUUACCGUUCUUUACACGCAUCAUCCAUUUUUAAAUCACAAAUCAUAACAUAUACUUACUAUGAAAGUUCUAAGUUUUUACGGGUCGUCUAUGUGAAAAAAAAUAAUAAAAAUGUGUGGUUAUAGAAUAAAUAGAUAAUUGCAAAUAGGUAUAGAAUUCUUAUAACCUGAGUCGAAAAAUAAACUGAAAUAAAGAAUACAUUCUUAUAUUAUUAUUAAAAAAAAUUAAAGUAUUUUUGUUGAAUUAAACCAAUUAAUAAUCACGAGUAAUGUGUAUAUAUAUAUUUUUUUUGAACAGUCUGAACAUAGUGUUACUUUUAUAGAUUCUAAGUGAAGCGAUAAAUGUAUAAUUGAUUUUAAAAUGGUAUGUGUUUAUUUUGUGUCCGAGGAUGCUUAUACAUAUAUAAUAUUAUAUAGACUUAUAAAAUGAUCUACUUUAAAAAAAAUUCAAUGUUUUUUAUUUAAAUAUUAUGUUUUACAAGUCAAAUAGUUUGACAAUUCAAUACAAGGUUCCUAAUAAGUCAUUAUACAACAAUUAAAAAAUAUUUUACAAUUUAAUACAAAGUAAUUUACCUGUAAAUACAUUU